GACGAACGCUGGCGGCGUGCUUAACACAUGCAAGUCGAGCGGUAAGGCCCUUUCGGGGGGUACACGAGCGGCGAACGGGUGAGUAACACGUGGGUGACCUGCCCUCAGCUCUGGGAUAAGCCCGGGAAACUGGGUCUAAUACCGGAUAUGACUUCAUGACGCAUGUUGUGGAGUGGAAAGCCUUGUGCGGCUGAGGAUGGGCCCGCGGCCUAUCAGCUUGUUGGUGGGGUGANGGCCUACCAAGGCGACGACGGGUAGCCGGCCUGAGAGGGCGACCGGCCACACUGGGACUGAGAUACGGCCCAGACUCCUACGGGAGGCAGCAGUGGGGAAUCUUGCGCAAUGGG
rnacentral:rRNA from 1 species